GGAAUGCACUGGACACACAGGUGGUGGCCCAGAAACCUUGUCCUGGAAGCCAGGGGACCUGCUCAGGUGUUACUGGAAGUGGGGAGACAGUCACCCAUGACCAAGGGCUGCACCUGCACACACCAUGGAGGAAGGAAAUCAUGAAAACGGUUGUUCCCACAAGACUUGGGGAUAAAAAGCCACAAGAAUGGAUUGGAAGAAUAAAUUUGAAUUCUUGAGGAGCAUCCCAGAAAUAUCUAUGGUUAACUUCAGAGCAGCGACCUGGUGAAUCAUUGCCUGAUAAGACAGAUUGCUUUGGACAAGUGCAUGUUGGUUUUGAUAUCCAGAUCACCUUCCACCUAGUUCUGCCACACAGUGCAGACUUGUCUGCCACUGAGGGUCAGGAUUAUAACUGCCUCUAAUUGUUUUCCCAUCUGUUGUAAAGAAGAAAUAAAUGUUUAUGGGUGGA